UCUGCCAGCCACUGACAGCAGUGCGGACUUCGUGGGGCCAAGGAAUCCUCCGGGGGUGAAAAGCCUGGCCUCGGAUCCUUCCUGAGACCCAGAGGCCGAACACCUGAAGGAGAGUGUCAUUCAAGUCCUUCUGCUCACGACUGAAUCUGAGGAGAGGCAACAUCUUUGUGAUGCUCCAGUCUUUCCCAGAUGUCUUAGUUUAGAAGACCUGUGGGGUGUGCUGGAAAGGAGGACCGGAGGAGAGGGGGCAGUAGGGGGCGCUGCAGGAGCACGCGCACAGAAAGACCCGACCGGAUUUGAAGGUUUCAGUGAAGUUGAGACCUGAAAGCAGAGGAGGUUGAGGGAAAGGGUUCCAGGCAAAAAGAACCGUGUUAUCAAAGCUUUAAAAUUGGCAAUGCUUCGGCAACUGCCCCGUGAACGAACAGCCUGGGUCCCCAAGUGAAGACAGGGAGCAAAGCCCAGCAGACUCGGGCUGGACAUGGUGGGCACGCUACCCCUCUCUUCCUUUAGGCCUUGAGCUGUUUGGCAGGUGCAGGGAAUGAAGAGCCUCGCAUGAGGACUGUGGUGCUCAUCUUCAGGGAAGGAGCCGCCUUUAGUUAAGCACAUCUCAGUUUGGACUAGCCAAGUUGUAAGUCCUAAAUAGCCAACCAUGCCAGUGGCUACCAUAGUGGACAGUGCAGGCCUAGAACAUAACCUCUGCAAGGGUCCCUGGGCCUAGAACAUUCCCUG